UCACAUGAUGAUUCUUAUUUCGACCGGGCGGGCAUACUUUAGUAUCGAGAACUAGCAGUUCUUACAAUGUCUCUCUUUCGUGUACAAAUUUUUUGAAGGAGGGUCGUAGGAGUGUUAUAAUCUAGUUGUUAGAGAAGUGAUGAUUGGUCUUAGAUAGCUGAUU
rnacentral:snoRNA from 1 species